GCCUCCCUCCGCCGCCACUCAGACUCCGUACGGGAGGCGAGCAGGUGGGGUAAGUUUUGGCGCAAGUAGGGGAAACCGUGACGCAGCAACGCCGCGUGGAGGAUGAAGUAUCUCGGUACGUAAACUCCUUUCGAUAGGGAAGAUAAUGACGGUACCUAUAGAAGAAGCCCGGCUAACUUCGUGCCAGCAGCCGCCGGAAUAC
rnacentral:rRNA from 1 species